ACAAGAGUAGUUUAACUGGUAAAAUCGUGAUCUCCAAAGUCAUUGUUGGUAGUUCGAAUCUAUCCUCUGCUG
rnacentral:tRNA from 1 species